AAAACUCUGCAGGCCCUGAAAGACAUCGCCAACAAGCUCAGGAUUCACUCCAUCAAGGAAACAAGCGCCUCAAACUCCGGGUCAAUCGGUUUCCUCGGGGCACCAGUAGAUCUCUGGCUGAUCUCUGAUCUUCUGGUUCUUCUGCUCCUUCCACCGUCCCAAUCCUGGAUUAAUGAGCCACGGCAGAUGUUUCCACUUUCAAUGCUUUAGCCUGGCUGUUUUUUCUCCAGCAUCUAAAGUGAGAAAGAAAUCAACAACCAAAAUGCUUGCCAACCGUUCCAUACGGAAUUGUCCUGUAUUUAAGGCACCGGUUUCUCCGUAUUUGCAGGCAUACGCUGUAUGACCACCUAGACCAUACAAAUUACAAAUCAAGGAAGGCUUUAAAACCAAGCGGAAUCCUCUGCCGCCUUGUCGCUCCCGCUUCACAGUGAGCGGGACUCGUGUUUUGAUUUCUGCAAAUCAGUUUGGUUGAAUGCAAAGAUGUGAUUAUUGAUCGUAAGCACAACAUCCAGCUAGAAAACACUAUCUACCUUCACUGUUUGCAAUAGUGGGACCAUUGCAUUGUGUUAGCAGUGCAAAAGGUCGUGGGUUCAAUUCCCAAGGAGCACACAUACUGAUUAAAAAAAAUGUAUAACCUGAAUCCACUGUAAGUCAUUUUGGAUAAACGGAUCUGAUAAAUGUUAAUGUUUUGUAUUUUAUUUGUACAGCACUAUGGUCAACUGCUGUUGUGUUUAUCAGUGCUUAAUAAAUACAAAUACCUGAGGGAAGAUGUCUUUCACUAUUGUAAGUUAAUGUUGUUAAAUAGAGAAACAAAAUUAUAAAUGUCUAUAACUUCUAGCGCAUUAUUUACUAUUAUAGUGAGAAGCAUUCAAAUUCUUAACAGAAAUCUGUUAUAAACGUGCCAAACAGCGCUGACAUAUAACCAGAAGUAGUGAUGCUAACUAUAACUAUAUGCUCCUGUCCUUUGGAAUUCUCUGCCUCCUGAUCUUAGGGAUGCACAGGGUUACGACAUUUUUAAAGGUAGGCUUAAGACUUAUUUUUUUAAAUUAGCAUUUGAUUGUUGAUGUUACUUUUAUUGUUUGAGCUUUGUAUUGCUUGUUGUGUACAGCGCUUUGAGAAGUUGCCUUUAAAGGCGCUUUAUAAAAUAAAGUUUAUUAUUAUUAUUAUUAUUAUAACCAUGGCGUUGUGGCACAAAUAGUUGAAUUUCAUUACAUUAUGCAUUUCAGAGUUUGUACAACCUUUUGAGAGAGAAAUUCAAGCACUUUUAAGUAUUUCACACAACUAUUCACAGCACUUUAAAACUCUAAAAGAGGAUACAAUUUAAAUGUUAUUUUUAGAGAGAUGACCAAAAUAUACUUGGUGGUAAACAAACACUUGUACCAGUAGACAACUAUAACCAGUAGAUGGCAGCAGAGGAACACUUAAAGACUUAUUAGUUAUUAAUUUCUACUUUUUACUUUAUAUUUUGAAAUCAUAAAAUCACUAUUAUAAAAUUUUAAGUCAAGAAAUCAAAUUUUGUAAAAGUGUUGCUCUCUUUUUUUGUGUAUGAAGUAAAAAAAAAAAGUCAAAAGUUGAAAAACAAACUUCUGUGACUGAAUCUGUACAAAUGAAAGUGUACUCAUUCUUCACGAGUGAUUAUUAACUGUCGGGUUCUCAAAUCUGGCCCUCGAUGUCCACCGUCAUACAGAGGGUACACCUCAAUCAGCUUCAUAGUUCGCUAGGUUAUGAAUUAAUAUAUUGUGUACACAAAUUCAGGCCCUGGUAAGCACAGUGGCUCACUAUACACUGAUGACUAUUUAUGUCCUCAUUGUACAACAUUACUAUACUGACAUUAAUGCACAACAGUAAAACUGAUAUCUUUUUAAUGCUAUUUACAGCACAUUAUGAUAAAUACUUUGUUACAUGUAUGUGCUAGAUUUCGGUCAUAAAUAAAUUGCAAAUGUUUACUAGAUUAGACAGUACCUGUCUAGUGAUGUGGUUAUGCUG
rnacentral:lncRNA from 1 species